GACGGAGGGUGCUAGCGUUGUUCGGAAUCACUGGGCGUAAAGGGCGCGUAGGCGGCCUGAUAAGUAGGGGGUGAAAUCCUGCGGCUUAACCGCAGGUCUGCCUUCUAAACUGUCAGGCUAGAGCACAGUAGAGGCAGGUGGAAUUCCCGGUGUAGCGGUGGAAUGCGUAGAGAUCGGGAAGAACAUCAGUGGCGAAGGCGGCCUGCUGGGCUGUUGCUGACGCUGAGGCGCGACAGCGUGGGGAGCAAACAGG
rnacentral:rRNA from 1 species